GUAGCUCAGUUGGUAGAGCAAUGGAUUGAAGCUCCAUGUGUCGGCGGUUCGAUUCCGUCU
rnacentral:tRNA from 2 species